rnacentral:lncRNA from 1 species
UAUUAGUCUACAUUAGACUGAAAUAUAUAUAUAUAUGUAUUUUUCCUAACAGUGUCUAUAUCUCUUCACUAGCAAUAAAGAGAACUUAGGGCAACUAGUUUAAAUUCAGGCAUCUACAUUUGACUGGAGAACUCCCACCUGUGUGUCUGUAGAUAACAGUGUCUUAGAUCAGAGAGAAACUCUGCACCAUCUGCUUCAGACAGUCUUGUCUAAUGCUCCAGCACACCUGAGGUAGCCUUUAUUGGAAUGCCAAUUACAGGAACAGCUGUAUUUAUUAAAUUUGCCCUGUACUUAGAGGUACCUAAUCCCACCCAGUUAUCUUAUUAUUAUUUUUACAAACAUUUUAAAAGCAUAGCAACCACAAAGAAAGUACAAACAGAUUAAAUCAACAAAAUUAAACAAACAAAUUAGUCCCUUGUUCCUUUCAUCCUUCUCACAAGAAAUUCACCACUGUACAGAAUACCAUGUGAGGAAAAAAGAACUAUAAGGAGGGGAUUUAAGAAAAUAUUAAGCAGCUGAGGAAAAAGAUUUAGAGCAGGAUUUAUAGUUCAGAUUAAUUAUAGCUAGUGCUAUCAACAAGCAUAAGACAAAGCAAAUGGGGAAGACUGUUGAUGGUGGUGGAAAAAUGUGCAAAAUAUUAUCCUGUUUUGCUAUCAGAAGAACAUCCAGCAAAGGUAUUGUUUCUGCUGUCGUUACAGUCAGUCUCUUAGCAGCCUGAAAGUUUAAGAUGCUAGAACAUACCUAGCCUGUUGUUUGGCAACAUAGGUUUCCACAGCAACAAAAGCCAGUGCCACUUCUCUUUCUUGCUAAUAGAUUCUGUCACUAAAAUACAAAACCAGGGCCCUGAACUGACCUGAUGGCUCUUGUGAAGGCAGUUACCAUGCCAUGAAAUUCCUGUCUCAUACUACAACACCAAGCUCAUAACAUUAUACUACUGUGAUGAAAAAUAGUCUCACUAUCAAAUGCACAGAUACAGAUAACGUUCCUCGUAUCAACUGCUUCACUCUGCAUGUCACAGAAAAUAAAGCUGCUGGUUUCUCUAGGGGUGGGGUUUUGUUACUAGCUUAUGCAUGCUUCCAGUGCCAAAGGUAAGUAUAAGAUCGUGAUGGAAUGAGAAAAAAGAGGAAUAACAAAUUAAUUACUGCUAAGUAAGAAAUAAUAAUUCACAGUUAACCUCAAAAACUGGUGAGUUUGGCGUUAAAAUAUAUAUAUAUAUAUACAGAA